UCCAGCAGGUGGCGCCAGAACAGCAGGAAUAACGGUGUUGCCUUAGUUACGGCAGUAAAUGACAGAAGUCGAGCAGGAUUUUAUCGAUUUCAUAAACUACACAGCGCCCCAAUAUUCGCAGCUUAAAUUCAGGAACCAGCGGUAGGAGGUCUUGUCUUUCCAGCCAACAUUUCUGGAAUCUUUCCACAACAGUUUCACCUGGUUGGUGGAGUCACCUGUGUGCCAGAGCCAGGUUCUGCUGAUUAGUCUCUGUUUGUGUUGCCCAAGCUGGUUCAUUAUGUAUUAAGUGACUAAAACCAGAUGGACACCAGCAUUCCAUAUUAGCGGGUUUGGAACCAAUCGGCAGUUGUCUGGACCGGGUGGAAGAAGAUCGGGAAUGCCAUCAUUGUCAUCAUCGUCAUCACAUUCAUCUCCGAUGCCAUCCUUGUCCGUGU